rnacentral:rRNA from 1 species
AGUGAACGCUGGCGGUAGGCCUAACACAUGCAAGUCGAACGGCAGCACAGUAAGAGCUUGCUCUUACGGGUGGCGAGUGGCGGACGGGUGAGGAAUACAUCGGAAUCUACUUUUUCGUGGGGGAUAACGUAGGGAAACUUACGCUAAUACCGCAUACGACCUACGGGUGAAAGCAGGGGAUCUUCGGACCUUGCGCGAUUGAAUGAGCCGAUGUCGGAUUAGCUAGUUGGCGGGGUAAAGGCCCACCAAGGCGACGAUCCGUAGCUGGUCUGAGAGGAUGAUAAGCACAACUGGACUUGAGAAACGGCCACGCCCCGUAGGGGAGGAAGCAGUGGGAAAUAUUGGAAAAGGGGGGAAAGCCUGAUCCAGCCAACCCGCUGGGGUGAAGAAGGCCUUCGGGUUGUAAAGCCCUUUUGUUGGGAAAGAAAAGAAGAAGGUAAAUCCCCGGUUGUCUUGACGGAACCCAAAGAAUAAGACCCGGCUAACUUGGU